rnacentral:lncRNA from 1 species
CAAACCUGGGGCCUCAACCCAGGCCCUACUGACAUUUGGGACCGAUGAUCUCUGUUGAGGGGCUGUCUUGUGCAUUGGAGAUGUUUAGCAGUGUCCCUAACCUCACUCUCCAGAUGACAGUAGCACAUGUGAUACAGGUCAGGGGCCAAAAAUGCCAUAGUAGACUUGACACGCCAAGGGACACUGAAAGGAAACCCAACAGCUACUUGUUUCAGCCCAUCCUGAGCUCCUUGAGGUCAGCGGGAUGUAUAACUGGUUUGACCUCUACGACCUGCUGUGGUGUCAGGCUCACUGUGUUACCUCCACCUCCAGCCUCUCUUCCCUCUGCCUGUCCCCUUGUGGGGAAAGUUGGGAGCCUUAGGUAGGGUUAGAUUAGGGAGCCAGGCCUUUUUAAGAAGAAGAAAAGAAAUAGACUCUGUAUCACAGUGAGCAGCCGAGCUGCCUGCCUGUGGUUUUGACACCUGCCUCUGUGCAAGUGACACUGUCCCUCCUAGUGCAGGAUGCUAUGACUACACGCAUUCCCCACUUAGCACACCAGACCUAACCCUCCAGCAACAAGUUCAAUAACCAAUCAAGUAGUGACCCUCAGGAGUCGGGUAGAGACAGAGUCCCCACCCCAUAAAGUAGGACUGCUGCUCCAGAUUCAGCAGGGACCCAGCCCUCACCCCCCACUCCUUGGAGUGGCUUUGUAUCACUUCCUUUUGCAAAUAAAUGUUGCUUUGUAC